AGUGAACGCUGGCGGUAGGCCUAACACAUGCAAGUCGAACGGCAGCACAGUAAGAGCUUGCUCUUACGGGUGGCGAGUGGCGGACGGGUGAGGAAUACAUCGGAAUCUACUUUUUCGUGGGGGAUAACGUAGGGAAACUUACGCUAAUACCGCAUACGACCUACGGGUGAAAGCAGGGGAUCUUCGGACCUUGCGCGAUUGAAUGAGCCGAUGUCGGAUUAGCUAGUUGGCGGGGAAAGGCCCAACAAGGCGACGAUCCGUAGCUGGUCUGAGAGGAUGAUCAGCCACACUGGAACUGAGACACGGUCCAGACUCCUACGGGAGGCAGCAGUGGGGAAUAUUGGACAAUGGGCGCAAGCCUGAUCCAGCCAUACCGCGUGGGUGAAGAAGGCCUUCGGGUUGUAAAGCCCUUUUGUUGGGAAAGAAAAGCAGCAGGUUAAUACCCCGCUGUUCUGACGGUACCCAAAGAAUAAGCACCGGCUAACUUCGUG
rnacentral:rRNA from 1 species